WAAACGACUCUCGGCAACGGAUAUCUCGGCUCUCGCAUCGAUGAAGAACGUAGCGAAAUGCGAUACUUGGUGUGAAUUGCAGAAUCCCGUGAACCAUCGAGUCUUUGAACGCAAGUUGCGCCCUAAGCCAUUUGGCCGAGGGCACGUCUGCCUGGGCGUCAAU
rnacentral:rRNA from 1 species